UUGAAUUGAAGAGUUUGAUCAUGGCUCAGAUUGAACGCUGGCGGCAGGCUUAACACAUGCAAGUCGAGCGGUAACGGGGAGUAGC
rnacentral:rRNA from 1 species